rnacentral:misc_RNA from 1 species
GAUGAAGAACGUAGCGAAACGCGAAAGGUAAUGCGAAUUGCAGAAUCAGUGAGUCAUCGAAUCUUUGAACGCACAUUGCGCCCUUUGGUAUUCCUUAGGGCAUGCCUGUUCGAGCGUCAUUUAAACCUUCAAGCUCAGCUUGGUGUUGGGUGACUGUCCGCUUCACCGCGGACUCGCCUCAAAAUUAUUGGCGGCCGGUACAUUGGCUUCGAGCGCAGCAGAAACGCGAACUCGGGCCCGUCGUAUUGGCUCCCAGAAGCUAUCUUCACAAUUUUGACCUCGGAUCAGGUAGGGAUACCCGCUGAACUUAAGCAUAUCAAUAAGCGGAGGA